GACACAAUGUUUGCUGGUGACAUUGUUUACCUCUGGAGAGGACUGGAUGGCUGAGGGAUACGAUGAGGACUUUGGAUAUUGGCAAGGUUAAGUAACGUGCACAGUCCACACUCACCAUUGGUAAAGGCAGGACUCAGACCUUGGUCUGAGGGACUUCACACAUAUUCCUAACCAUGACACCAGCCACCUUUCAUCCACUUCAGCUGACAUCUGUCUGGCUUGAGGCCGAAAGAGGGGACACCUUGCAGUCUGCCCGAGCAGCAGCCAUUUGAACCUCCCCCUGGUGCCCUGAGGCUCAAGAACACUUGGAGAGAUAGAAGUGGGAGUUGGCUUGAUUCAUGAAGGAGGAGAGUGAUGGCUUACAAGGAGACAGCCCAAAGAGUGAGUGUGGUCACCAGACCAUGCUCUACACGUUAGAACAAAGGACCCCAGAAGCACAUCUGCCCCAGACUCAACCAGAUGGGCUUUGCUGUCCAGACAACAUAGGUGGAGACCUCACAUUUCGAGGGAACGUGGAACACGGAACACUUCAGAUUUUCAACGAUGCUGGAUUUGAGCUGUUCACUUGAAAAUAAAGUCUGUUGCAUCACAAGUGCUGGUUGGCAUCGCUGUCCUCCUAUCAGUGGAUUAAGAAAAGGCACAGCGAAAAACUAGUUUAAAAUCACCAGUCGGAUAUUUUACAGGCGAGGUCCAGCACGAUCACUCACACGGCUGCUGCUAGGCUGGCUCUGCCCGUUAUUCUUCCAUCCUGGCACCAUGCUUCUAAUUUAUCCUGAAUACAUGGAGACUUGAGCACUGAUGGGAUAGAUAAAAAAAACGACAGCAAUCUUCUCUCCAAAAAAGCAACAUAAGACUAGAUAAAAUGGUCAAAAAUAAUCAUUUCAGAAUGAUUCUAGAAAAUGACCAAAGGCAGACAACAAAUUGAGAUGUGUGUUUCGUUUUUUUUGAAUCUACUGGGGCUUGGAAGGAACAGUGGGAGACUAUGGAAUUUUAGCUCAGGGCAGCGUGGUAUAGUUUCACAAUGGAAUACUACUCAGAAAUAAAAGCGAUAAACUGUUGAUACAUGCAACAAUGUGGAUGAAUCUUAAGAUAAUAAUGCUGAGUCAAAGAAGCCAGACAAAAGUAUGUAUAGUGUGAUUCGAAUUAUAUGAAAUUCUACAAAAUAUACACUAAUCUAUAAUGACAGAAAUAGAUCAGGGGUUGCCUGGGGAACUGGGGUGGAGGGUGUGCCAAGAGAGGCAGGAAAGAAGGAUUAUGAAGGGGCAGGAGGAGAGCUUUGGGGAUGGGGAUGUAUUCAUUAUCUUGAUUGUGAUGAUAAAUUCUCCGGUGUACACAUAUAGCAAAAUUUAUCAAAUUAUACACUUUAAACCAUGUGCAGUUUUUGUAUAUGGAUUGUACCAAAAUAAAGUUUUUUAAAGGGAUGCUAAUCAAUGGAUUAUACUACCUGUAGCUUGCCUACACCUCAUCUCCUUCCUCAAAACAGUUAACCUACAGGUACCUAGUAGCUAUUCCAAAACUGCUCCUCGAACUUGUGAAUGAGUAAGAGAAUGAACAAACGCACCCACUUAUCAACCUAUUCUAUGUCCU
rnacentral:lncRNA from 1 species